rnacentral:rRNA from 1 species
UACGUAGGGGGCGAGCGUUGUCCGGAAUCAUUGGGCGUAAAGCGCGUGUAGGCGGCUCGGUAAGUCCGGUGUGAAACCUUGGGGCUCAACCCCAAGCCUGCACUGGAUACUGUCGAGCUUGAGUCCGGGAGGGGAGAGCGGAAUUCCUGGUGUAGCGGUGAAAUGCGCAGAUAUCAGGAGGAACACCGGUGGCGAAGGCGGAUCUCUGGGCCUGUUCUGACGCUGAGGCGCGAAAGCUAGGGGAGCGAACAGG